rnacentral:rRNA from 1 species
UACGGGGGGAGCAAGCGUUGUUCGGAAUUACUGGGCGUAAAGGGCGCGUAGGCUGCCUGCUAAGUCGAACGUGAAAUCCCUGGGCUCAACCCAGGAACUGCGUCCGAUACUGGUUGGCUUGAAUCCGGGAGAGGGACGUGGAAUUCCAGGUGUAGCGGUGAAAUGCGUAGAUAUCUGGAGGAACACCGGUGGCGAAGGCGACGUCCUGGACCGGUAUUGACGCUGAGGAGCGAAAGCGUGGGGAGCGAACAGG